UACCAGCACCCCGAGUGGUCGGGACGUUUAUUGGGCCUAAAGCAUCCGUAGCCGGUUCUACGAGUCUUCCGUUAAAUCCAACUGCUUAACAGGUGGGCUGCGGAAGAUACUAUAGAGCUAGGAGGCGGGAGAGGCAAGCGGUACUCGAUGGGUAUGGGUAAAAUCCGUUGAUCCAUUGAAGACCACCAGUGGCGAAGGCGGCUUGCAAGAACGCGCUCGACGGUGAGGGAUGAAAGCUGGGGGAGCAAACCGG
rnacentral:rRNA from 1 species